AAAAAGAGCGGAGAAAAAAACGGCGAAGGGGAAAAACGGGCGAAGGGGGAAAGGGGAAAAAUAAAGCUUUAUUUUUCCCCUUUCCCCCUUCGCCCGUUUUUCCCCUUCGCCGUUUUUUUCUCCGCUCUUUUUUUCGCUUUAUUUUUCCCCUUUCCCCCUUCGCCCGUUUUUCCCCUUCGCCGUUUUUUUCUCCGCUCUUUU